UAUAUUUUCGAGUGGUUAUAGACACCAUGUCGACCGAGCGACGAAAAGUGCUACAAAAGUGCUGGAUUCUAACCCCGCCUUGCCCCCCGCAGGCUGCUCUGCCUAUAGUUCUAGCUAUAAUCGUACGCGAUUACAUGUCCGAGGGAAACGGCAUCACUGCUUUUUCUCUUUCUUUAUGAACUGUCAGCAAACGGACGGGAGCAUCAAAGUUCUAAACAAACAGUCUCAAAUAUCAGCUCGUUGUUGUGUACUGUCAUUCCAUCCAAAAUACUUCUCGGUACGGUAAAAAUGAGCAUGGAUUUUGUUUUUCGGAGACGAGCAAAUAAAAAAACAGUACGAAGAAAAUCGGACAGGUAACGAAUUCAUCUGCACGACGGCAGAAAUUAUUGAAAAAAAAUGCGCAAGUUCUACGAACAUUCAAAAGCAUAUGCGUAUUUUCAUGUAGAACAAUCCUACAAAAGUCGGACGUAAUUGAAAAGCGGUUGAAGGAAUAAAUAGCGGUGCCUGAAUAAAACAAAAUCGAAGAAAUUGAGCGUCCAUUUCCGUUCGACUGUUUGAUGGAGAAGAUGGGUAAAAGAGGAAUAUUCGAGACAACACUCGCUGGACUCCCAUCUUCCGCCUCCAACUUCGGUGAAGGAUUGCCGAUUAAACCGGACAAAUGAACACAUCUCAACGCAAUCACCAACAACUAACGUAUAUAACGUUUGUUCAGCUUCUUCAAGUUCUUCUAUGCAAUUGAUUCUCAUCCCUCAAGAUACCACCACAGGUGAU